UACAGAGGGUGCGAGCGUUAAUCGGAAUUACUGGGCGUAAAGCGCGCGUAGGCGGCUUUGCAAGUCGGGUGUGAAAUCCCCAGGCUUAACCUGGGAACUGCAUUCGAGACUGCAUUGCUAGAGUAUGGGAGAGGGAAGUGGAGUUUCCGGUGUAGCGGUUAAAUGCGUAGAUAUCGGAAGGAACAUCAGUGGCGAAAGCGACUUCCUGGACCAAUACUGACGCUCAUGUGCGAAAGCGUGGGGAGCAAACAGG
rnacentral:rRNA from 1 species